UCCUGCCCUAUGAUUAAUUAAAUGGCUGCAGUAUUCUGACUGUGCAAAGGUAGCAUAAUAAUUAGUCUUUUAAUUGAGGACUUGAAUGAAUGGAUUAAUGAGAGAUUUAUUUUAUUUUUAUAAGUUUUUGAAAUUAAUUUUUAAGUAAAAAAGCUUAAUUUUUUUUCUGGGACGAAAAGACCCUAUAGAACUUUAAUUUUUAAUAUUUCUUAUAUUUAUAUAAGUUUUUUUAUAUUGUUUAGUAGUUUAAAAUUUUUUGUUGGGGUGACAAAUAAAUUUUUAACUUUAUUUUUUUUAAUCAUUUUAUUUUUGAAAUUUUGAUCCAUUUAUUUUUGAUUAUAAGAUUAAGUUACCUUAGGGAUAACAGCGUAAUUUUAAUGACGAGUUCAUAUCUAUAUUAAAGUUUGCGACCUCGAUGUUGAAUUAAGAUUAGAUUAGGGGGUAG
rnacentral:rRNA from 1 species